rnacentral:rRNA from 1 species
AUUGAACGCUGGCGGCAGGCCUAACACAUGCAAGUCGAGCGGAGCGGCGGACGGGUGAGUGAUGCCUAGGAAUCUGCAUGGUAGUGGGGGAUAACGUCCGGAAACGGGCGCUAAUACCGCAUCCUAUCAGAUGAGCAUGGGUCGGAUUAGCUAGUGGGGGGGGUAAGGGCAUACAAAGGCGACGGUCCGUAACUGGUCUGAGAGGAUGAUCAGCCACACUGGAACUGAGACACGGUCCAGACUCCUACGGGAGGCAGCAGUGGGGAAUAUUGGACAAUGGGCGAAAGCCUGAUGCAGCCAUGCCGCGUGUGUGAAGAAGGUCUUCGGAUUGUAAAGCACUUUAAGUUGGGAGGCGUUACCCACAGAAUAAGCACCGGCUAACUCCGUGCCAGCAGCCGCGGUAAUAC